AGUACUAAUUGGAGGACCGAACCCAAUACUGUUGCAAAAGUAUGGGAUGAGCUGUGGAUCGGAGUGAAAGGCUAAUCAAGCACGGAGAUAGCUGGUUCUCCCCGAAAACUAUUUAGGUAGUGCCUCGUGUAUAACUCAUUGGGGUAAAGCACUGUUUCGACAAUGGGGGUUUUACGACCUUACUGACUCGAUGCAAACUCAGAAUACGAUGAAGUUCGAUCACGGGAGACACACUGCGGGUGCUAAGGUCCGCAGUGGAAAGGGAAACAGCCCAGACCGCCAACUAAGGUCCCAAAGUCAUAGCUAAGUGGGAAACGAAGUGGGAAGGCCCAGACAGCCAGGAGGUUGGCUUAGAAGCAGCCACCCUUUAAAGAAAGCGUAAUAGCUCACUGGUCGAGUCGGCCUGCACGUAAGAUUUAACGGGGCUAAGCUAUGCACUGAAGUUGCGGAAUAUAUUUAGUAUAUUGGUAGGGGAGCGUUCUGUAAGCCGAUGAAGGUGAAUUGAGAAGUUUGCUGGAGGUAUCAGAAGUGCGAAUGCUGACAUGAGUAACGUAAAAUAAGUGAGAUUCUUAUUGGCCGAAAACCCAAGGGUUCCUACGCAAUGUUAAUCAACGUAGGGUAAGCCGGCCCCUAAGGCGUAGCUGAAGAGUGAAGUCGAUGGGAAACAGGUUAAUAUUCCUGUGCUGCUUAUAUGAACGAAGGAGGGACGGAGAAGGUUAGGUAGGCCUGGCGAAUGGUUGUCCAGGUGAAAGUAUGUAGGUAGGAAUGCUAGGCAAAUCCGGUGUUCUGUUGAUCUGAGAUACGAGACGAAGUUAAACUUGUUUGACGAAGCUAUUGAUACCAUGCUUCCAGGAAAAGCUUCUAAGUAUAUUGUAUAAGUGACCGUACUGUAAACCGACACUGGUGGGUAGGUAGAGAAUACUAAGGCUAUGAGAUAACUCUGGUGAAGGAACUAGGCAAAAUGACACCGUAACUUUGGAAGAAGGUGUGCCCUUGAUGGUGAUGAGACUUGCUCUUUGAGCUGUUGGGGGUUGCAGAUACCAGGUGGCUGCGACUGUUUAUCAAAAACACAGCACUCUGCGAAAUCGUAAGAUGAAGUAUAGGGUGUGACGCCUGCCCGGUGCUGGAAGGUUAAUUGAAGGGGUUAGCGCAAGCGAAGCUCUGGAUCGAAGCCCCAGUAAACGGCGGCCGUAACUAUAACGGUCCUAAGGUAGCGAAAUUCCUUGUCGGGUAAGUUCCGACCUGCACGAAUGGCGUAACGAUGGCCACACUGUCUCCACCAGAGACUCAGUGAAAUUGAAAUCGCUGUGAAGAUGCAGUGUACCCGCGGUUAGACGGAAAGACCCCGUGAACCUUUACUAUAGCUUUGCACUGGACUUUGAAUAUUUAUGUGUAGGAUAGGUGGGAGACCAUGAAGCAGCUACGCCAGUAGUUGUGGAGUCGUCCUUGAAAUACCACCCUUGAAUAUUUGAAGUUCUAACUCAGGAGAGAUUCGAGGACAGUGUAUGGUGGGUAGUUUGACUGGGGCGGUCUCCUCCUAAAGAGUAACGGAGGAGUACGAAGGUGCACUCGGUACGGUCGGAAAUCGUGCCAAGAGUAUAAAGGCAAAAGUGCGCUUGACUGCGAGAGUGACGGCUCGAGCAGGUACGAAAGUAGGUCUUAGUGAUCCGGUGGUCCCGAAUGGAAGGGUCAUCGCUCAACGGAUAAAAGGUACUCCGGGGAUAACAGGCUAAUUCCUCCCAAGAGUUCAUAUCGACGGAGGAGUUUGGCACCUCGAUGUCGGCUCAUCACAUCCUGGGGCUGAAGUAGGUCCCAAGGGUAUGGCUGUUCGCCAUUUAAAGUGGUACGCGAGCUGGGUUCAGAACGUCGUGAGACAGUUCGGUCCCUAUCUGCCGUGGGCGUUAGAGAUUUGAGAAGAGUUGCUCCUAGUACGAGAGGACCGGAGUGAACGAACCACUGGCGUUCCGGUUGUUUCGCCAGAAGCAUUGCCGGGUAGCUACGUUUGGACGGGAUAAACGCUGAAAGCAUCUAAGCGUGAAGCCUCCUUCAAGAUUAGAUCUCUCUGAUGAAAAUCAGUAAGGAACGUUGGAGACUACGACGUUGAUAGGCUGGGUGUGGAAGUACAGCAAUGUAUGAAGCUUACCAGUACUAAUGAUCCGAGAGACUUAAGUCUAU
rnacentral:rRNA from 1 species